GUUCACUUCGGCAGCACAUGUACUAAAAUUGGAACUGGAAUGAUACAGAGAAGAUUCGCAUGGCCCCUGAGCAAAGGUAACACAAAAAUUUGUGAAGCGUUACAUGUUAAA